UUAGCCUUUCUACUUGGUUGGUGUAUCGGUCAGAGUUCUCCAGAGAAACAGAACAAAUAGAAUGUUUUCUAGGUUCCAUCACACUCUAUAAGUGCUGUGAUUCUGUAUUUAUGGAAAGCUGUUUUCCAGUCUCAAAAGAACUUGAUGAGAGUUUCUGUGUCAAACUUCAUAUAUUUCAAAAUGGACAUUUCUCAAUGCAGUUUGCAUUUCUUCAUCAUUUGUGAGGAGAAAUCAGCUUCCAUGUCAUGAGGACACUCAAACGGCCCCAUGGAGAGGUGCCUGUGGCGAGUUGCUGAGGCCUCCUGCCAAAGGCCGUAUAAACCUUGGAAAUGGAUUCUUCAGCUGCCGUGGGGCCUUGAGGUGACUGCAACCUUGUUCUAGGUCUUGACUGCAACCUCCUAACAGACCCUGAGCUGGAACCACUCAGGUGUGUCACUUCCAUCCUGACCCUCGGAAAAUGUGUGAGAGUACAGAGAAUGGGAACGAGCCAGCCUGGAUUGUGCUUACUAUUUAGAAAAAGUGGAAAAGAAAGAAACCA